UCCCUGGUAGUAUAUCGGUUAGUACACGCGCCUGUCACUUGCUGGCUUCUGAUUGGCUGCUUAUGUAACGCGCGAAAGCGGGGUUCGACUCCCCGCCAGGGAG